rnacentral:rRNA from 1 species
ACUGCUCAGUAACACGUGGAUAACCUGCCCUUGGGUCUGGGAUAACCCCGGGAAACUGGGGAUAAUACCGGAUAACGCAUAUAUGCUGGAAUGCUUUAUGCGUAAAAUGGAUUCGUCUGCCCAAGGAUGGGUCUGCGGCCUAUCAGGUAGUAGUGGGUGUAAUGUACCUACUAGCCUACAACGGGUACGGGUUGUGAGAGCAAGAGCCCGGAGAUGGAUUCUGAGACAUGAAUCCAGGCCCUACGGGGCGCAGCAGGCGCGAAAACUUUACAAUGCGGGAAACCGUGAUAAGGGGACACCGAGUGCCAGCAUCAUAUGCUGGCUGUCCAGAUGUGUAAAAUACAUCUGUUAGCAAGGGCCGGGCAAGACCGGUGCCAGCCGCCGCGGUAACACCGGCGGCCCGAGUGGUGAUCGUGAUUAUUGGGUCUAAAGGGUCCGUAGCCGGUUUGGUCAGUCCUCCGGGAAAUCUGAUGGCUCAACCAUUAGGCUUUCGGGGGAUACUGCCAGGCUUGGAACCGGGAGAGGUAAGAGGUACUACAGGGGUAGGAGUGAAAUCUUGUAAUCCCUGUGAGACCACCUGUGGCGAAGGCGUCUUACCAGAACGGGUUCGACGGUGAGGGACGAAAGCUGGGGGCACGAACCGGAUUAGAUACCCGGGUAGUCCCAGCCGUAAACGAUGCUCGCUAGGUGUCAGGCAUGGCGCGACCGUGUCUGGUGCCGCAGGGAAGCCGUGAAGCGAGCCACCUGGGAAGUACGGCCGCAAGGCUGAAACUUAAAGGAAUUGGCGGGGGAGCAC